GUAACUAUAUAAUACGGUUGCGCUGUAGUCAAUUUGGUGGUGUCACUGACGGAGACGCAUCGUCCGGCCUAGGACCGCUGGUGUAAUUCCGUUUGUUCAUUCUUAACAACUCAUGGACUUCGGACCAGCAGAACAGCCAGAACCAAAGAAGGCUUCUGGCGGUGAGGUCAUGAGGGUGAGGCACAGAAAUAAAAAGAUUCCGGGGAUGGACUUGGCGCGUUAUUCAACUCUUCCAACGAUAAAAGAGGACAAGCAGGAAUUCUAAUAAGCAACUUCGAAGUUUUCGUACGACUAUGGCCCUUACUUUCACAAGCACAAUCUGCUUGAAACUUGGUAGGAUCCUAAUGGUAAAACUGGCUUAACCCAACAGAGCUCUGUGCGGCCAAUGGCCCACAUUCUACACGAACAAGCUGUGAAGACAAGACGCAUAGGACAGCGGUCAGAUUGGCCGAGUGGAAAGAAGGCGACAUAUGUAUAUCGAAAGGGUAAUCUAUAUAUAUAUAUAUAUAUACAGUAAUAAAAGCGAUAAAAUCUUUCUCCAUUGCAUCGUAUGUAAUGGAACCUUCCCAUGUAAUGUGUAUGUAUCAUAAUACGGAUAUAUACAAUAUACAUUACAACAAA